UACGAAGGGGGGCUAGCGUUGCUCGGAAUCACUGGGCGUAAAGGGUGCGUAGGCGGGUCUUUAAGUCAGAGGUGAAAUCCUGGAGCUCAACUCCAGAACUGCCUUUGAUACUGAAGAUCUUGAGUUCGGGAGAGGUGAGUGGAACUGCGAGUGUAGAGGUGAAAUUCGUAGAUAUUCGCAAGAACACCAGUGGCGAAGGCGGCUCACUGGCCCGAUACUGACGCUGAGGCACGAAAGCGUGGGGAGCAAACGGG
rnacentral:rRNA from 1 species